CGUUGCACAUAUUGAUAAAUCAGAAAAAGUCUCUCCUAAAGCUGACACUGAUUCUUGGUUCCCAACGGUGAGUGAUUCAGGAAAGAUGCAUCCUCCAGAUCGGAAUGUCUUGUAAAGAUGAGGAUAUGUCAUUCCUCGGAUUUCCAACUCAUGCCCCUUAAAGCUAGCCAACCUUUUUUUCUUUUUUCGGCUAUCAUUUCUUCUCUUUCCUUCUUAGUUGGCUUGUACCCCA
rnacentral:lncRNA from 1 species